rnacentral:rRNA from 1 species
UGCCAGACUCCUACGGGAGGCAGCAGUGGGGAAUAUUGCACAAUGGGGGAAACCCUGAUGCAGCGACGCCGCGUGAGUGAAGAAGUAUUUCGGUAUGUAAAGCUCUAUCAGCAGGGAAGAAAAAAGACGGUACCUGACUAAGAAGCCCCGGCUAACUACGUGCCAGCAGCCGCGGUAAUACGUAGGGGGCAAGCGUUAUCCGGAUUUACUGGGUGUAAAGGGAGCGUAGACGGUGCGUCAAGUCUGAAGUGAAAGCCCGGGGCUUAACCCCGGGACUGCUUUGGAAACUGGCGCGCUAGAGUGCUGGAGAGGUAAGUGGAAUUCCUAGUGUAGCGGUGAAAUGCGUAGAUAUUAGGAGGAACACCAGUGGCGAAGGCGGCUUACUGGACAGUAACUGACGUUGAGGCUCGAAAGCGUGGGGAGCAAACAGGAUUAGAUCCCCUAGUA